rnacentral:rRNA from 1 species
AUGUGCACCAGAGGCCACUGGAGGCCGUCGGAGGACGAGAGGCUCAAGGAGCUCGUCGCGCGGUACGGGCCGCACAACUGGAACGCCAUCGCCGAGAAGCUCCAGGGCCGAUCAGGGAAGAGCUGCAGGCUGAGGUGGUUCAACCAGCUGGACCCGAGGAUCAACCGGAGCCCCUUCUCGGAGGAGGAGGAGGAGCUGCUCCUCGCCUCGCACCGCGUCCACGGCAACCGGUGGGCCGUCAUCGCCAGGCUCUUCCCGGGCCGCACCGACAACGCCGUCAAGAACCACUGGCAUGUGAUCAUGGCCCGCCGGUGCAGGGAGCGGAUGAGGCUGUCGUCCAACAGACGUGCCACGCCUGCCGCUGCCUCCACCACCACGGCCGGUGCCGAGAAAGACGAUAGCCCUAGGAACACCACCGGCGGCGAGAAGCCGAGACUUCCGGAGGCGAAUACCAUGGCCGCCUUGCUCCACAAGUACCGCAGAGAAUUUGCUGCCCCCUUCGCGAUCAGCCGUCACAGUAGCAAGGAGGGUUACUGCUCAUCCACGAAUGAAGAUACGAAUAGAUCGGUGGAGUUCUACGAUUUUCUCCAGGUGAACGUGAGCUCGAGCGACACCAAGUGCGGCUCGAGCAUCGAGGAGCAAGAGGAGAACCGGGACGAAGGCGAUCAGCAAGCUGAAGGGCAGGUGUCGCUCAUAGAUUUCAUGGAGCUUGUAAUGCUUUGUGAGGAGGCCGGGGCAUGCGACAUGUAG